UGGCAGAAAAUUAGAAAAUCUUAGUAUGCCUGUAGCUAUGCAGUGUUGUGCUGCCACGGACGGCAGCACAAGUCCUAAUGUGCCUGGACGGCACAUUUAGGACGCACACGUCACUCCACGAGAACCUAUCACAGGCAUACUUAGUUUUUCUUAUUUUCGAAC
rnacentral:ncRNA from 1 species